GUCGAACGGCAGCGCGGGGCAACCUGGCGGCGAGUGGCGAACGGGUGAGUAAUAUAUCGGAACGUACCCUGGAGUGGGGGAUAACGUAGCGAAAGUUACGCUAAUACCGCAUACGAUCUAAGGAUGAAAGUGGGGGAUUCGCAAGAACCUCAUGCUCCUGGAGCGGCCGAUAUCUGAUUAGCUAGUUGGUGGGGUAAAGGCCCACCAAGGCAUCGAUCAGUAGCUGGUCUGAGAGGACGACCAGCCACACUGGAACUGAGACACGGUCCAGACUCCUACGGGAGGCAGCAGUGGGGAAUUUUGGACAAUGGGCGCAAGCCUGAUCCAGCAAUGCCGCGUGAGUGAAGAAGGCCUUCGGGUUGUAAAGCUCUUUUGUCAGGGAAGAAACGGUGCUUUCUAAUACAGAGCGCUAAUGACGGUACCUGAAGAAUAAGCACCGGCUAACUACGUGCCAGCAGCCGCG
rnacentral:rRNA from 1 species